GCUCUUUUGGCUCCUCCUGCUGGGGUUUCCCAGCCAUCAAUCCACCCGUGCGAUCAGUUUUCCACCUGAUUAUUUGUAUCCUGGGCAUGACUUUCUUGGUGUUCUGUGGAUGCUUAUCACUAUUGUGUUUCUGUGAGUUUCUACAGUUGGACUUUUCCUCUGAAAAAUUAGCUUUUGUCUCUGUGCUCAAGCCUUGGAUAGGGAGAUGGCAGAGAGGAAGGCUGCCUACAAGCAGCACAGG